rnacentral:rRNA from 1 species
AUUGAACGCUGGCGGCAUGCUUUACACAUGCAAGUCGAACGGUAACAGGCCGCAAGGUGCUGACGAGUGGCGAACGGGUGAGUAACGCAUCGGAACGUGCCCAGUCGUGGGGGAUAACGCAGCGAAAGCUGUGCUAAUACCGCAUACGAUCUGUGGAUGAAAGCGGGGGACCGUAAGGCCUCGCGCGAUUGGAGCGGCCGAUGUGAGACUAGGUAGUUGGUGGGGUAAAGGCUCACCAAGCCGACGAUCUGUAGCUGGUCUGAGAGGACGACCAGCCAAACUGGGACUGGGCCACGGCCCAGAGUCCUACGGGAGGCAGCAGUGGGGAAUUUUGGACAAUGGGCGCAAGCCUGAUCCAGCAAUGCCGCGUGCAGGAAGAAGGCCUUCGGGUUGUAAACUGCUUUUGUACGGGGCGAAAAGGCUCCCUCUAAUACAGGGGGCUCACGACGGUACCGUAAGAAUAAGCACCGGCUAACUACGUGCCAGCAGCCGCCGUAA